GUCACUGGUUCGUUUUGCAGACGUUCUCUCUUGCCUGUAAACUGCCAGAACAGAAGAGAGAUAAUUUUGAACGCUUUGAUCCCUUUGGAGACUAUCCAGAAUCGGAAUAAACUAUUUUCCAAGGGCACGUUUCAUUGCAGACCUCAGCCUUUUGAAACUGUGAGUAGAGAGUAAUUAAUUUACACACGGCUCUUCACACUGCCUUAAGGAGAUUAUCAUUUGUUUCCAGGAGACUUGCGAUCACGGAUAUAAAGCAUACAGACAUUCAGGAUUUAAAGACUUUGCAAAAGACUCUUUGGCCUUUUGGCCAUUUGGGACAUUAUUUUUAAUCCAAGCACACUAUUAUUAUUUUUAUUUUGUUUUGUUGUAUAUUGUUAUGCAAAUUCUAUUUAAUUUAUUGUCUAUUUACUUAUAAGGUCGACCUUAAAUGUAUUAAUAAAUGUAUUUUAUUGACCAGAUUUGUUAUAUUAUAUGUUAAUGUUAUAUUUUAUUAAAAUCCACUUUUUAUUAAA